GGCUGUAUCAUGUUGAAACACUGAUUUCCAUACAAUCACUGAAGUUAAUCAACAUCAAGCCUGGUCAGUACCUAAAUGGGUGAUCACUUGAGAAUACCAGGUGCUGUAAG